GCGAAUGAAACCCCACAGAGGUUGUGUGCGUUGUGGCGCUCUACAGCAAUGCCUAGUGGAAUGGCGUCGCGGAGGGGCAGUUGUAACGAGGAGAGUAAAGACGAGAUACGAUUUAAACGGGAAGCGGAAACGUUUAUACGAGUUUAGUGGCUAGUUGGUUCUUGACAACCAAAUGUCCGCCUAGACGGAACUAACCAAAGUAAGGAUAUACUCUUGUUGGAGUACGAUGUACGGUAGUACGGCAGGAGUUGUUCCGCCUAUGCGUUACAAGUAAUAAUAAUAAGAAUAUGUUAGUCAUUACCGUAUUUAACGGAAUGCUCAUAACAGCAGUGGUCGGUGCGUCAUAAUUACAUCGUAUGGCCUCGCUACGGUAACGCAACCAAGGUGUAACACACACACGCACAUAAACACACUAUUGGCCACCCCGCGCCGCUGUUCGGAUCCCACGUCGUACAUGACCCCAUGUCACCUACGAAACCAUGUUACUUUACAGACGGAGCCCCUGUCAUGCAGCUUAGCAUCCUUGGCGAGCCGUCGUUGUGUGUUUGGCCGCACGGUUUUAGGCACGAUGCUGACGGUGAAUGGACAUCGGAUGGUCCGCAUGUUGAGAUAGUGAGACUCGUACGAUGUGUGCUAAACUCCAAAACGUCACAGGUGAAGCUAUAUCCCCAUCCCCUACUUCUCAUGCAUCUUCACUAAAUGUCAAAGGUUUGCCACAUGAUUCAUAUAUCCAUGUGCCGGUUUCAUCCCGCUGCUCACAUCAGCCAGCCCGUUACAUCCAGAAUGACCAUUAUUGUGGCAAUAUACCGCCAGUAGUAAUGUUGACUAGCAUGGCAAGACAGCCAAGCUACCUUCCUCUUGCCUGCUUUGUUUCUAUGUGGCAAUGUUGCAGG
rnacentral:lncRNA from 1 species